rnacentral:lncRNA from 1 species
UAGUGAAUUACGACUAAUAAUUGAUAAUAAUAGAGAAUAGAGUGAAGAAAACAAAAAGAAGACCUUUUAUAUGAAUCCACACCAAAAUUCAGACCCUGUAUAGACUUAAAAGGUUAAGCUCGGGAAGAGUGGUAAAAACAUCACAUUAUUUUUCUGUUAGUUAUAAAAUGUCAUCAGGUAGAAAAACAAUAUUUUAAGAUGUUCUUGAUCUCAGACAAAAACUACAAACCACUUGUGCCUGAACGGAUACACAACCGGUUAUAUAACAUUUUAAAAUUUGUUGCGGAAAAAAGAUUAAAUAUUUCGGAAGCAGGACUGUCCUGAAUACUUUGCAUAAGUAGCGAAUAAAGUGUUAAAUCUAAAAUAAUAAGUUAACACAGCAGUCUUCAGUUAUCAUCACAAUGGUAAGUACAUGUCAUAAAUAGUAUUACAACGUCAUUGUGAAUUUUAUUGAUGCUUCAUUUCAAUUUAUUAUUUCACUCAUCAUAUAUAAGUAAGAAGAUGUGUUGUGAGACACUUCUCAACCAAGGACAUGUAUCAUUUAUUCUG